UCCUUACAUAUCUGAAGGCAAGUAAAAUCCCACAAAAUAUUAGCAGUGGUGUGGUAGGUACCCACCUUCUGGAAUGUAACCGUUACAUUCCGUUACCUUAGAUACUGGACUUAGAUAACUAAGUCGGGAUGUCUCAUAAGCGUCUCAGUGGGGUGCCCUGUGUUUGGGACACUAAAGGGCUCAGCUGCUAAUGGAGGAGACCCGCAACUGGGAGGCUUGAGAGUGGUCACCCUAGGAGCAGAAGAUCCAUCCCUAAGCAUAACUCAAACUGAACGUCUACUCGUUAUGGAAUUGAAAUGAGGUAAACAGUUGCUGAGUGGAAAGCGUCCAUUGGUGUGGAGGCGGGGAAGUCCAGGAUUGAGAUGUAGCCCAGCUCCUUUCUGCCGACGCAUUAGUCAGUGCUGUUUCUUCUUUCAGGAGCUCUAAUGCCACCGUGGGACACUGCCCUCAGGAUCUCAUCCAAGCUAAUCAUUUCCCAUACAUGGUGGGAAGAGGGAGCCGUAUUGGAUUUGGGCCUGGCCGCUUUGUGACUGCAUAGCUCAAGGUGGCUACGUGACUCUGGGCUGCAUGGCCACAGAGGUUCAACCUUGAAAUGACUGCCAUACAGACAUGAGAUUGUUGAAUUAAAGCCACUCCCAGGAAGACCCUGGGAGCAAUGACAGGAUGCCUGAGCAAAACACCGGAUGUCCCUGAGCAGAUUCCUGAGAAGGGUUUGACCUUUUCAAAGAACAUGUCCCCGGAAGACUGUUGCCUCUUUGUUUAAGGAGGAUAUCUUGCAGUGUAGUGAUUCACCUUAUAUCCUUGGGCACUUCCCAAACUCCCGCACCCUAAGCUUCAGUUCCCGCUUCUAUUCUUGCCUCAGAGCUUUAAAUGCUGUACAUUUUUCUCAAUAAGCGAGACCUUGACAACAGAA